GACGAACGCUGGCGGCGUGCUUAACACAUGCAAGUCGAACGGAAAGGCCCUGCUUUUGUGGGUUGCUCGAGUGGCGAACGGGUGAGUAACACGUGAGUAACCUGCCCUUGACUUUGGGAUAACUUCAGGAAACUGGGGCUAAUACCGGAUAGGAGCUCCUGCUGCAUGGUGGGGGUUGGAAAGUUUCGGCGGUUGGGGAUGGACUCGCGGCUUAUCAGCUUGUUGGUGGGGUAGUGGCUUACCAAGGCUUUGACGGGUAGCCGGCCUGAGAGGGUGACCGGCCACAUUGGGACUGAGAUACGGCCCAGACUCCUAUGGGAGGCAGCAGUGGGGAAUAUUGCACAAUGGGCGGAAGCCUGAUGCAGCAACGCCGCGUGCGGGAUGACGGCCUUCGGGUUGUAAACCGCUUUCGCCUGUGACGAAGCGUGAGUGACGGUAAUGGGUAAAGAAGCACCGGCUAACUACGUG
rnacentral:rRNA from 1 species